rnacentral:ncRNA from 1 species
GGCACCUAGUGUCCAGGCGCAUGGAGUGGUAGGAGAGCGUCGUGUGGCGAGUGAAGCGGCGGUGUGAACCAGCCGUGGACGCCACACGAGUGAGAAUGCAGGCAUGAGUAGCGAAAGACGGGUGAGAAACCCGUCCUCCGAAAGACCAAGGGUUCCAGGGCCAGGUUAAUCCGCCCUGGGUAAGUCGGGACCUAAGGCGAGGUCGA